CCACCACUUGGGGAUAACCUUGCGAAAGUAAGACUAAUACCCAAUGACGUCUCUAGAAGACAUCUGAAGGAGAUUAAAGAUUUAUCGGUGAUGGAUGGGGAUGCGUCUGAUUAGCUUGUUGGCGGGGUAACGGCCCACCAAGGCGACGAUCAGUAGGGGUUCUGAGAGGAAGGUCCCCCACAUUGGAACUGAGACACGGUCCAAACUCCUACGGGAGGCAGCAGUGAGGAAUAUUGGUCAAUGGGCGAGAGCCUGAACCAGCCAAGUAGCGUGCAGGAAGACGGCCCUAUGGGUUGUAAACUGCUUUUAUAAGGGAAUAAAGUGAGUCUCGUGAGACUUUUUGCAUGUACCUUAUGAAUAAGGACCGGCUAAUUCCGUGCCAGCAGCCGCGGUAAUACGGGAGGUCCGGGCGUUAUCCGGAUUUAUUGGGUUUAAAGGGAGCGUAGGCCGGAGAUUAAGCGUGUUGUGAAAUGUAGACGCUCAACGUCUGCACUGCAGCGCGAACUGGUUUCCUUGAGUACGCACAAAGUGGGCGGAAUUCGUGGUGUAGCGGUGAAAUGCUUAGAUAUCACGAAGAACUCCGAUUGCGAAGGCAGCUCACUGGAGCGCAACUGACGCUGAAGCUCGAAAGUGCGGGUAUCGAACAGGAUUAGAUACCCUGGUAGUCCGCACGGUAAACGAUGGAUGCCCGCUGUUGGCCUGAACAGGUCAGCGGCCAAGCGAAAGCAUUAAGCAUCCCACCUGGGGAGUAC
rnacentral:rRNA from 1 species